rnacentral:tRNA from 1 species
GCCCCCAUCGUCUAGAGGCCAAGGACGCCAGCUUCUCAAGCUGGAAACGGAGAUUCGAAUUCUUCUGGGGGCACCA